UCCCGUUUAGCUCAGUUGGUAGAGCGCGUCACUAGUAUAAAGUGAUGACGAGGUCAGUCGUUCAAAUCGGCUAACGGGAA